rnacentral:sRNA from 1 species
ACAGCUGCAACCGCUCGGGACAAGCUUUUAAGUACCGUAUUCGGUCACUUGUUUUCGGCGAGUCUAAGUCU